CUCCACUCUCUCUUUCUCGGUGCUAUAAAACUGAUUGGGCAGAAACUUUGCAGGAAGUGGCUCAUUUCUCAUUCUUGGCUUCUCUUUUGGGCAUAGGAGUAUUGUUAGCUAAAGGGGUGACAAUCGGUUGGAGACUUUGGGGAUGCUGCAAGGCUGGCAGUCCUUUAGGGAGUCAAACAAGCUGUCCCCUAACAGCUUAUACAUUUGGCAGGUGUUGUUGCUAAAAGUCUAGCUGGCUGAAUUGGGCCCAAUGGCUGGAUUCCACAUGGGCCAAGGUUGAAGGAGGUUGGGCCGAAAGGAAGACAUUUUGGCUUGCUAAGAAGAGGCCCGAAAUCUAUGUACACUUUUUGUAUGAUAGUUCUAUGUUCUUGACCCAAUAUUUAUUUUGGACUUGAGUUCUUUUAUACUAAACGAAAUUUGAGAAUCUUCUUGAU